rnacentral:rRNA from 1 species
CACGUAGGCGGAUCUUUAAGUCAGGGGUGAAAUCCCGAGGCUCAACCUCGGAACUGCCUUUGAUACUGGAGGUCUCGAGUCCGGGAGAGGUGAGUGGAACUGCGAGUGUAGAGGUGAAAUUCGUAGAUAUUCGCAAGAACACCAGUGGCGAAGGCGGCUCACUGGCCCGGUACUGACGCUGAGGUGCGAAAGCGUGGGAGCAAACAGGAUUAGAUACCCUGGUAGUCCACGCCGUAAACGAUGGAUGCUAGCCGUUGGCAGCUUGCUGUUCAGUGGCGCAGCUAACGCUUUAAGCAUCCCGCCUGGGGAUACGGUCGCAAGAUUAAAA